rnacentral:rRNA from 1 species
GGAUUCCCUAGUAACUGCGAGUGAAGCGGGAAAAGCUCAAAUUUAAAAUCUGUCAGUCUUUGGCUGUCCGAGUUGUAAUCUAGAGAAGUGUUAUCCGCGCUGGACCGUGUACAAGUCUCCUGGAAUGGAGCGUCAUAGAGGGUGAGAAUCCCGUCUUUGACACGGACUGCCAGGGCUUUGUGAUGCGCUCUCAAAGAGUCGAGUUGUUUGGGAAUGCAGCUCAAAAUGGGUGGUAAAUUCCAUCUAAAGCUAAAUAUUGGCGAGAGACCGAUAGCGAACAAGUACCGUGAGGGAAAGAUGAAAAGAACUUUGGAAAGAGAGUUAAACAGUACGUGAAAUUGCUGAAAGGGAAACGCUUGAAGUCAGUCGCGUUGUCCAGGGAUCAACCUUGCUUUUGCUUGGUGUACUUCCUGGUUAACGGGUCAGCAUCAAUUUUGACUAUUGGAAAAAGAUCUAGGGGAAUGUAGCAUCUUCGGAUGUGUUAUAGCCUUUGGUUGCAUACAAUGGUUGGGAUUGAGGAGCUCAGCACGCCGCAAGGCCGGGUUUUUUUUWAAAACCACGUACGUGCUUAGGAUGCUGGCAUAAUGGCUUUAAUCGACCCGUCUUGAAACACGGACCAAGGAGUCUAACAUGCCUGCGAGUGUUUGGGUGGAAAACCCGAGCGCGUAAUGAAAGUGAAAGUUGAGAUCCCUGUCGUGGGGAGCAUCGACGCCCGGACCAGACCUCUUGUGACGGUUCCGCGGUAGAGCAUGUAUGUUGGGACCCGAAAGAUGGUGAACUAUGCCUGAAUAGGGUGAAGCCAGAGGAAACUCUGGUGGAGGCUCGUAGCGAUUCUGACGUGCAAAUCGAUCGUCAAAUUUGGGUAUAGGGGCGAAAGACUAAU